rnacentral:rRNA from 1 species
UCAGGUGGCCGCAGAGAAUAGGCCCAAGCGACUGUUUACCAAAAACAUAGGUUUCUGCUAAGUCGCAAGACGAUGUAUAGGAGCUGACGCCUGCCCGGUGCUGGAAGGUUAAGGGGAUCUGUUAGAGCAAUCGAAGCAGUGAACUUAAGCCCCAGUAAACGGCGGCCGUAACUAUAACGGUCCUAAGGUAGCGAAAUUCCUUGUCGGGUAAGUUCCGACCCGCACGAAAGGCGUAACGAUUUGGGCACUGUCUCAACAACAGACUCGGUGAAAUUGUAAUUCCGGUGAAGAUGCCGGAUACCGGCGACAGGACGGAAAGACCCCAUGGAGCUUUACUGUAGCUUGACAUUGGGUCUUGGUACUACAUGUACAGGAUAGGUGGGAGGCUUUGAAACCAGGACGCCAGUUUUGGCGGAGCCAUCCUUGGGAUACCACCCUUGUAGUACUGGGACUCUAACCAUAGGCCAUGAAUCUGGUCUUGGGACACUGUCAGGUGGGCAGUUUGACUGGGGCGGUCGCCUCCCAAAAGG